CAGGCGACGAAGGACGUGCAAGCCUGCGUUAAGCCCCGGGGAGCUGGCAACGAAGCUUUGAUCCGGGGAUGUCCGAAUGGGGAAACCCACUCCGCAAGGAGUAUCCCAGACUGAAUCCAUAGGUCUGGGAGGCGAACCGGGUGAACUGAAACAUCUAAGUAGCCCGAGGAAAAGAAAUCAACCGAGAUUCCCUGAGUAGUGGCGAGCGAACGGGGAAGAGCCUGCAAGUGAUAGCAGUUUUGUUAAUGGAACGGAAUGGAAAGUCCGGCCGUAGUGGGUGAUAGCCCCGUACAUGAAAACAUUGCUGUGGUACUAAGUUUGCGACAAGUAGGGCGGGGCACGUGAAACCCUGUCUGAACAUGGGGGGACCAUCCUCCAAGGCUAAAAUACUCGUGAUCGACCGAUAGUGAACAAGUACCGUGAGGGAAAGGCGAAAAGAACCCCGGGAGGGGAGUGAAAUAGAACCUGAAACCGCAUGCAUACAAACAGUGGGAGCCUCCUUGUGGGGUGACUG
rnacentral:rRNA from 1 species